AUAAAAGAUUUUGUAACAUCUCGGUUUUCAAUGUGUUGAAAAGGUUAGACCAUCUUUAUCCCAGGUUUCUAACUGGGUUUUUAACAAAAAUAGAUGAUUUAAAUAAAUCAAAAAUAAUUAUAAAGUUCAUUACCGAUCCUUAAGUAAGGAUUCUGGAAACCGAUUUUAAUGGGAGUUUUACAACCACGUGUCAGCAAAGUAAAGGCACCAGAUUUUUUUUUCUAUUUUCUUUUCUCUUUUUUUUUCUGUUUUCUCAUCUUCUCCGUCAUUCGACGAAAUCCACCACCUCUUCUCUCGGCUUCUCCGUCAGAAACGAUCGACGACUCUGUCGGUCAUCACGGCGUGUCCUCCGUGUUCUCCAUCAGACGAGCACUCGAAACCCACCGAAAUGACAGCAUGAUUUGGAUGCUGAUUACCGCCAGAAGAGGACAGCAUGAUUUGGACGCUGAUUACCGUCAUAAGAGGACAGCUCUCCCACCAAACUCUCUCUUCAAUUCUUCUAUUUUAGGUUCUCUUCUUCCUCUACCUCUGGUUCCUUAUCAACAUCUAUUUGUAUCAUCUUGGGAGUGUUAUUCUCUGGUGAAUGAAUUUUUGAAGCUUAAUUAGCGAACUGAAUCAAAUAUUCCUAUGCUAACAAAAAAAAAUCCGAAAUAGAGGUUCUUGUUGAUGUUUAUAAAGUUUACAAAGUUUGUAUAAUAUGCUUCUCGGUUUUGUAUUGUGUUUUGGGUUAGAUAACUUCAGUCCACGACUUGAAUUACUUGUCUCAGAUGCUGUCAAGAGGCAGAUGACUAAGGACGAUGAAAAGCAUCAAAAGGUACAAACUUUUUUAAAACCCAACAAGAUUUGAUUCUUUACUCUUUAUUAUCAUAGAUGAUGACAUGGUAUUGGUCGGUAAGAUUUCAACCUGACGUUACCAUAUCAUGGAGAGACUAUUUCAUUAGAGGAAGGAGAGCUACUUGUGCUGCUUACAAAUGGUAGAAAGCUAAUGGGAACACUCUGUUCUUUUUGAUCAAUUGAGAAGAAGAGGAAGCCCGUCUCUAAGGCAAUCUCAACACACUCCAUUCUCUUUAUCUUUAUGAUGCAUUGUAUUCAAAUUCCAAGUCUUGUGAUGUGGGUUGGAGUUAAAGCGGGUUUAGGAAUUUUCAGCCAUUUCUGAUAUAGAUUAUUUCAUUUUUGGAUGAUGCAUUGUAUUUCAUUUGCAUUGUAUUAAUAAUUUUUUUCUUCUAAGAAUCCUUAAUUAAGAAACUUCCAUUGGACCACUCAAAAUGGGAGUUUCUUAACUAAA